GUGUCAGCCGCCGCGGUAAUACAGAGGUCUCAAGCGUUGUUCGGAUUCACUGGGCGUAAAGGGUGCGUAGGCGGUCGGGUAAGUCUGACGUGAAAUCCCGUGGCUUAACCAUGGAACGGCGUCGGAAACUAUCCGGCUUGAGGUUGCGAGGGGGGACUGGAAUUCUCGGUGUAGCAGUGAAAUGCGUAGAUAUCGAGAGGAACACCAGUGGCGAAGGCGAGUCCCUGGAGCAAUCCUGACGCUGAGGCACGAAAGCUAGGGGAGCAAACAGGAUUAGAAACCCUAGUAGUCC
rnacentral:rRNA from 1 species